rnacentral:rRNA from 1 species
GGUUAAGCGACUAAGCGUACACGGUGGAUGCCCUGGCAGUCAGAGGCGAUGAAGGACGUGCUAAUCUGCGAAAAGCGUCGGUAAGGUGAUAUGAACCGUUACAGCCGGCGAUGUCCGAAUGGGGAAACCCAGUGCAAUUCGUUGCACUAUCGUUAACUGAAUACAUAGGUUAACGAGGCGAACCGGGGGAACUGAAACAUCUAAGUACCCCGAGGAAAAGAAAUCAACCGAGAUUCCCCCAGUAGCGGCGAGCGAACGGGGAGCAGCCCAGAGUCUGAAUCAGCUUGUGUGUUAGUGGAACGGUCUGGAAAGUCCGACGGUACAGGGUGAUAGUCCCGUACACCAAAAUGCACAGGCUGUGAACUCGAAGAGUAGGGCGGGACACGUGGUAUCCUGUCUGAAUAUGGGGGGACCAUCCUCCAAGGCUAAAUACUCCUGACUGACCGAUAGUGAACCAGUACCGUGAGGGAAAGGCGAAAAGAACCCCGGCGAGGGGAGUGAAAAAGAACCUGAAACCGUGUACGUACAAGCAGUGGGAGCACCUUCGGGUGUGACUGCGUACCUUUUGUAUAAUGGGUCAGCGACUUAUAUUCUGUAGCAAGGUUAACCGUAUAGGGGAGCCGCAGGGAAACCGAGUCUUAACUGGGCGUUAAGUUGCAGGGUAUAGACCCGAAACCCGGUGAUCUAGCCAUGGGCAGGUUGAAGGUUGGGUAACACUAACUGGAGGACCGAACCGACUAAUGUUGAAAAAUUAGCGGAUGACUUGUGGCUGGGGGUGAAAGGCCAAUCAAACCGGGAGAUAGCUGGUUCUCCCCGAAAGCUAUUUAGGUAGCGCCUCGUGAACUCAUCUUCGGGGGUAGAGCACUGUUUCGGCUAGGGGGUCAUCCCGACUUACCAACCCGAUGCAAACUACGAAUACCGAAGAAUGUUAUCACGGGAGACACACGGCGGGUGCUAACGUCCGUCGUGAAGAGGGAAACAACCCAGACCGCCAGCUAAGGUCCCAAAGUCAUGGUUAAGUGGGAAACGAUGUGGGAAGGCACAGACAGCCAGGAUGUUGGCUUAGAAGCAGCCAUCAUUUAAAGAAAGCGUAAUAGCUCACUGGUCGAGUCGGCCUGCGCGGAAGAUGUAACGGGGCUAAACCAUGCACCGAAGCUGCGGCAGCGACACUAUGUGUUGUUGGGUAGGGGAGCGUUCUGUAAGCCUGCGAAGGUGUGCUGUGAGGCAUGCUGGAGGUAUCAGAAGUGCGAAUGCUGACAUAAGUAACGAUAAAGCGGGUGAAAAGCCCGCUCGCCGGAAGACCAAGGGUUCCUGUCCAACGUUAAUCGGGGCAGGGUGAGUCGACCCCUAAGGCGAGGCCGAAAGGCGUAGUCGAUGGGAAACAGGUUAAUAUUCCUGUACUUGGUGUUACUGCGAAGGGGGGACGGAGAAGGCUAUGUUAGCCGGGCGACGGUUGUCCCGGUUUAAGCAUGUAGGCUGAUUGUCCAGGCAAAUCCGGAUAAUCAAGGCUGAGGUGUGAUGACGAGGCACUACGGUGCUGAAGUAACAAAUGCCCUGCUUCCAGGAAAAGCCUCUAAGCAUCAGGUAACAUCAAAUCGUACCCCAAACCGACACAGGUGGUCAGGUAGAGAAUACCAAGGCGCUUGAGAGAACUCGGGUGAAGGAACUAGGCAAAAUGGUGCCGUAACUUCGGGAGAAGGCACGCUGGUGUGUAGGUGAAGUCCCUGCGGAUGGAGCUGAGACCAGUCGAAGAUACCAGCUGGCUGCAACUGUUUAUUAAAAACACAGCACUGUGCAAACACGAAAGUGGACGUAUACGGUGUGACGCCUGCCCGGUGCCGGAAGGUUAAUUGAUGGGGUUAUCCGUAAGGAGAAGCUCUUGAUCGAAGCCCCGGUAAACGGCGGCCGUAACUAUAACGGUCCUAAGGUAGCGAAAUUCCUUGUCGGGUAAGUUCCGACCUGCACGAAUGGCGUAAUGAUGGCCAGGCUGUCUCCACCCGAGACUCAGUGAAAUUGAACUCGCUGUGAAGAUGCAGUGUACCCGCGGCAAGACGGAAAGACCCCGUGAACCUUUACUAUAGCUUGACACUGAACAUUGAGCCUUGAUGUGUAGGAUAGGUGGGAGGCUUUGAAGCGUGGACGCCAGUCUGCGUGGAGCCAACCUUGAAAUACCACCCUUUAAUGUUUGAUGUUCUAACGUUGGCCCCUGACCGGGGUUGCGGACAGUGUCUGGUGGGUAGUUUGACUGGGGCGGUCUCCUCCCAAAGCGUAACGGAGGAGCACGAAGGUUAGCUAAUCCUGGUCGGACAUCAGGAGGUUAGUGCAAUGGCAUAAGCUAGCUUGACUGCGAGCGUGACGGCGCGAGCAGGUGCGAAAGCAGGUCAUAGUGAUCCGGUGGUUCUGAAUGGAAGGGCCAUCGCUCAACGGAUAAAAGGUACUCCGGGGAUAACAGGCUGAUACCGCCCAAGAGUUCAUAUCGACGGCGGUGUUUGGCACCUCGAUGUCGGCUCAUCACAUCCUGGGGCUGAAGUAGGUCCCAAGGGUAUGGCUGUUCGCCAUUUAAAGUGGUACGCGAGCUGGGUUUAGAACGUCGUGAGACAGUUCGGUCCCUAUCUGCCGUGGGCGCUGGAGAAUUGAGGGGGGCUGCUCCUAGUACGAGAGGACCGGAGUGGACGCAUCACUGGUGUUCGGGUUGUCAUGCCAAUGG